GAUGCCCACCGACGUGGUGGACCUGCUCGUGGAGGUUAUGGACAUCAUCAUGUACUGCCUGGAAGGAUCCCUGGUGAAGAAGAAGGGUCUUCAGGAGUGCUUCCCAGCCAUCUGCAGGUUCUACAUGGUCAGCUACUACGAGCGGAGCCACCGCAUCGCGGUCGGCGCUCGCCACGGCUCCGUGGCCCUCUACGACAUCCGCAC